rnacentral:rRNA from 1 species
CAGCCGCCGCGGGAAUACAGAGGGUGCGAUCGUUAAUCGGAUUUACUGGGCGUAAAGCGUGCGUAGGCGGCUUCUUAAGUCGGAUGUGAAAUCCCUGAGCUUAACUUAGGAAUUGCAUUCGAUACUGGGAAGCUAGAGUAUGGGAGAGGAUGGUAGAAUUCCAGGUGUAGCGGUGAAAUGCGUAGAGAUCUGGAGGAAUACCGAUGGCGAAGGCAGCCAUCUGGCCUAAUACUGACGCUGAGGUACGAAAGCAUGGGGAGCAAACAGGAUUAGAUACCCGGGUAGUCCCUGUCUCUUAUAC